CGCCGCCGCCCCGGCCCCGCGGGGCCCCUCCGCGCCCGCCCACCGCAACCCCUUCUCCAGCCUGAACAACAACAACGCGCCUCAGCGGGCGGCGGCCCCUCAGCCCCCGGCCCCGGCGGGCGGGGAUCCGUCGGCAGCGCCCUUCUGGCAGUUUUUAGAGCCUGCCUGUGAAGAGAAGCCCCCCGGGAGAGCAGAGCCCGCGGGAGGAGCCGACAUCCUCGCCCUGACCGAGGGAGAAGAGUCCUUUCCCUGCUCCAGCCUGGGCUCCUCUCUCCAUGGACUGCACAUCCCUGCCAGGACCCUGCUCCAGGUGGGGUGCCCACGGAGUCACAGCUUCCUUUGGGCAUCCCCCUGAUCCAGGGGGCUCCUCCAGGGGCUGCAGGUGGGUCUCUGCUCUACCAUGGACCUCCAGGGGCUGCAGAUGGAUCUUUGCUCCUCCAGGGCCCGCAGAUGGAUCUCUGCUCCCUUUUGACCUCCAGGGGCUGCAGGUGGAUCUCUGCUCCACCAUGGACUUCCAGGGGCUGCAGGUGGAUCUCUGCUCCU